rnacentral:sRNA from 1 species
CAAAAGCACUCCUGUGACAGUGGUCUUGCCAGACACCAAAGGAAAAUCUUAUCUCUUCAAUAUCAUGGACACUCCAGGACAUGUGAAUUUCUCUGAUGAGGUCACAGCUGGCUUGCGCAUCUCAGAUGGAGUGGUCCUUUUCAUUGAUGCUGCUGAGGGGGUGAGUCAGACUCAGCUCCCAGAAUCUCAUCCACCUGUUA